rnacentral:lncRNA from 1 species
UGGAGUCUCUCCGAGCCAAAGCGGGGCAAGGGGUGGGGGGUGUCUACACCGAAGGGGCGGAGGCCGGAGCAGGGCAAGGGGGGCGCAGGCGCCUGUCCCGACGCGGCGCUGGUCCCGCACGCACAGUCGCGACCGGGUUGCGCCGUGGAGUGGGGGCAACGGAGAUGGCGGGGGGGGGGCACUUGUGCCCUCCCGGCAGCCUGGAGCCGGGGCGGGGCUGUGCGGGGCGCCGCCCCCAGACCCCCGCCGAAAUCUGAGUUCCCCCGCAGGUCGGCGGGCGCCCGGGGGGAGGCGCGCGCGGGCUCUGGCCGCUGGGUGCGCUUCCAUGGAGGUCUGGGCAGCCGCAGCCGGAGCCCGGUUCCUGCCUCCGACCCGUCUGUCCGCGUCGGAAUUGCCGGAGCCCAGGGACUUGAGACGACACGCUGGCAGAGGUCUGACGGGAUGGCACUGUUUGCGAAGGGCCACCUGGGAUGAGCCAGCACACGGGGACACCGACCUGGGGUGAUCUUUGUCUGAACCCAUGUAAUGUUGGACGGUAAGAACUUAAACAGCGCAGCUACCCCCCCCGGCGGCAUUAGCCGGCACUCUCGCGUCCGGAGGUGAGUGGCCCGCGCGAGCCGGCUGGUGGAAGGGGAGCGUGUUGUUGAGACCACGUUUCCCUGUGGCCCCAGGCCUGGUGCACAUGUCUGCUCUUGUGAACAUGGGCCAUCCCAGAGGUUAAAUGUUACCCCCGCAGAGCUGAGUGUGCGCCUGGGAGGACAGCAGACACGCCGGGAGGGGGACGUGGCUGGACGGACGCUCCCCGCCGCGGUGGCUGGUGGUGAGCCGGGAGGGAGUCCGCUCUGCGAAGAAACCGGAACCAAAACCGAGGCGGGAGCAACCGCCAGAGCCUUUAAGUGCUGCAUUAAUUAUCUUGCAACAUCUGUCGUGUGAAAACAGUUCUAGAUGCUGAAGCAAUGGCUGUGAAGUGGAGACCAGACCGCUCUGAGCUUCCUCCUCGCCAGGACGCCCUCCCGUCUCCCGUGCCGCGUGGGGUGGACGCCCCCGCCGCCGUGCGAUGUCCGCCAGCCUCCGCGUGGACGUCUGGCUUUACCGUGUCUUCCCUCGUGUGGCUGCUUGACUGAGUCUGCUUUGAGCCGGGUC